CCUACGGGAGGCAGCAGUGGGGGAUAUUGCACAAUGGGGGGAACCCUGAUGCAGCGACGCCGCGUGGGUGAAGAAGCGCCUCGGCGCGUAAAGCCCUGUCAGUAGGGAAGAAAAUGACGGUACCUGAAGAAGAAGCCCCGGCUAACUACGUGCCAGCAGCCGCGGUAAUACGUAGGGGGCAAGCGUUAUCCGGAUUUACUGGGUGUAAAGGGGGCGCAGACGGCGAUGCAAGCCAGGAGUGAAAGCCCGGGGCGCAACCCCGGGACUGCUCUUGGAACUGGGUGGCUGGAGUGCAGGAGGGGCAGGCGGAAGUCCUGGUGUAGCGGUGAAAUGCGUAGAUAUCAGGAGGAACACCGGUGGCGAAGGCGGCCUGCUGAACUGCAACUGACGUUGAGGCCCGAGAGCGUGGGGAGCAAACAGGAGUAGAUACCCUGGUAGUC
rnacentral:rRNA from 1 species